UCACAGUAGUUGUCAUUCUGGUGGUCAUCAUUGUCGUGGUCAUCGUCAUAGUCAGAAAGAGGAGGAAUUCAACAACAAACACAUAUUCCAAUGGUGAUAAUCAUGAGUAUAUGAACCAGGACAACAACCAGCAUGGUGAACGCCCGGCUGUGGAAUAUGUGAACACUGUGAACGAUGUGAACAAUGUGUAUGAUGUGAACACUGUGAACAUUCAGACAGACGAUCCCCAUGUUUAUCAAUCUCUGAAAAACUGAUGACUAUCUUAAAAUUAAUUAAUUAAUUAAUUAAUUAAUUUUAAGUUAUUUUCUUGCUUAUAACAAAUUAAGGAUCAAGUACACAUUGUAGAUGUCUGGACUGUCUGUUGAAGACAGUAGAUUAGUGGUUGGUUGUUAGUGGUUCUGUGGUGGUACCAGUUGUAUUGUACCGAUGUGAGAUAUGGGGUUAUGAAAACAUUGAUAUGAUAAAGACUGCAUAUUAAUUUGUAUAAUAUUUAUCUCAGAUUACAAAACAUACCACUGUGUUUAUGUUAUAUAGUAAAUUUGGAAGAAAACCCCUUUCCUUGAUUAAGUAUUCUGUUUUGGGGGUCAAAGUACAAAAUUAACACAUGUUCCAACCCUCUUGCAUCGCCCGUAGGAGGACUGCCACUCCCAGUACUAGCUUACAAAACCUAAACUUGCAUAAAAUGUAGCUCAAUGGAAUAUAUAUGAUGGGAUUCACUCAUGAAAUACUGUUAACACAUUAUGAAAUUGA